GGAGGAGGGAGUCGUAUGCUGGCGGCUGGUACCUUUCCGGCCAUCUUUCGUUAGUUAAGUUUCAGCGUGGUUGUGCGUGCAAGCCGGUUUAUCACUUCAUAUAUUUAUCGUACGUUUAGAUUAAAUAUCGUUAUCACUUAUCGCGCGAUUGGUAUUUAUGCGAUUCCGUUCUCGUCCUCGUGCUCGUUGUCAUCCUGAAAGUUGAAACGUUAUUGAGUUGCCGUGAAAAUGAGUACGGAUAGUAUCGAGAAGUUGUACAAAAAUUUUGGUGUACUCGCUGACGCUAAAGACAAGCUGUCGGAGCAUGAGCAGGAGUAUCUAGAAAUUUUAAAAGCUGUUAAAGGUAGUCCAAAGGAAAAAAGAUUAGCCUCUCAAUUCAUUGCUAGAUUUUUCAAGCACUUUCCCAAAUUAGCAGAUAAGGCUAUAGAUGCACAUUUAGAUCUUUGCGAAGAUGAAGAUAUGUCUAUACGUAAGCAAGCAAUAAAAGAUUUACCAACUUUAUGCAAAGAUAGUAAGGAGCAUACAGCAAGAAUAGCUGAUAUAUUAGCACAACUUUUACUAGCUCAAGAUUCUUCAGAAUUAGAUGUUGUUCAUAACAGUAUUAUGACAUUAAUUAAAAAUGACCCUAAAGGAGCUAUAAGCGGUUUCUUUGUUCAGAUUCUUAAUGGGGACGAUGGUAUAAGGGAGCGUUGUAUCAAAUUUUUAGCUAAUAAACUAAAAACUUUAGGUCGAGAUACUAUAACCAAAGAACCAGAAGAUGUACUAAUAACAGAAUGCAAAAAAGUUUUACAGGAUGUUACAGCGGAUGAAUUUCAUAGUAUUAUGGAAAUACUUGCUUGGACUAGACUUGGAUCGACAGUUCAUGGACAACAAGAAUUAGUAGAUAUAGCAAUCGAACAAGCGGAACUUUCUGUGCCAUUUAAAUAUACAAAUUUAGAACAAUGCAGUAGGCUUAUUCAAUGUAUUAAACAUGCUCUUCCAUUCUUCAGCUCUCAAGCAAAUUCUUCAAAGUUUGUUUCAUAUAUUUCAAUGCAAGUCUUACCACAUUUAUCUCUAAUAACUUCACCGGAUGGAAGAGAUGUACAAUUAGAACUUCUUAAAUUGCUCGCUGAAUUAGCAGAAUAUUGUGGUAAAAUAGAAAAGCCAGAAGAGAAAGUUCAACAGUUGUAUAAUGCUUUGAUUACAUUUAUGCCACUUCCUCCGGACACAGAAGUUACUGAAGUACCGAAACUUCAGUUUAGUCAUGUAGAAUGUUUAAUUUUUGCUUUUCAUAAAUUAUGUAAACAAACGCCAGAGUUUUUAAUAAAAGAUGCGGAACAGCUAAAAGAAUUCAGAUUACGACUACAAUACUUUGCACGUGGAAUUCAAGGAUAUAUAAAAAAAUUACGAGAAGCUAUUAAUGGCAAAAGUGAAGAAGAACUCAAAACAGAAGAGAAUCAAUUAAAAGUUAUAGCUUUAAAAACAACAAAUAAUAUUAAUACGCUUAUUAAAGAUUUAUUUCAUUCUCCGCCAAGUUUCAAGAGCAUUAUUCACCUUUCGUGGAAAACAAUUAUUACAAAACAAAAGAAGGAUGAAAAAGUUUCAACAGGACAAAAACGACAUACACCUAUCACUUUUGGUAAUGGAAAUGCCACUACACACAGUUCAAAUAAACGAAUGAAAGAAGACAUUUCAAAAAAUAAUAAACAACUCUAUACUCCUCCAAGUGGAAAAUAUAGUUCAAAUAUUUCAUCAAAUUAUGGUAACCGAGGACGAUUUCAAAAUCGAUACAAUAAAAUUGGCGGUCGAGGUGGUUUUAGACCGCGUGGACGCAGUAGUUGGAGAAAAAAUAUAUACUAGUUUAUUUAAAUAAAAAUCUUGGGUUUUUAACCAAAACAGAUAUCAACUUUUCAUCGGAGCUGAAUUUUAACGAGAUGGAGAUAAACAUUUUUUUAUAAUGAGAAAAGAAGAUAAUAGAAUAUUCAAAAUGAAUUUGUACUGAUAAACGAUCAUCAUUAAGGCUUAUGUGACGUUUAUUUAAGUUUCGGACUUGAAAUUGUAUUUUUAAUCAGUUAGCCUUCGCGUGAAAUAAGCAAUGGUAGUCAUAUAUUUCGCAAACUACUGUCACAAAGAUGCAGUUUCUGUAUAUACCACAAUGAUGAGGAACUUUUCAAAGAAGGGCAUAAUAUUAGAUUUUUUUUCAGAUUUCAACCAAUCAGUAAAUAUUAAAACUAUUUAAUCAGUUAUUCCAGAGCCGUGAUGGAACAUAUGUUAGUCUUAUUCUAUUUCAGAUUAACCUAGAGCAGAGAAAUUAUACAAAUUGUUUCUAAUAUAGAGCAUUCACAAUAAUCAUCGCUAAGGUGAGUCUUCAUGGUUUUUCUCAAAACCCUUUUUCCUUCCUCUCCAUUAGUCACAUCGAAUUUCAAAAUGUUAUGCUACUUCUGUAAGUUUGUAGAUAUACCCUUAUUAUGGUAAUAAACAGUUUUUUAAUGGA